ACUCCUAGCGGGAGGCAGCAGGUGGGGAAUAUUGCACGAAUGGGCGCAAGCCUGAUGCAGCCAUGCCGCGUGUGUAGAAGAAUGGGCCUUCGGGUUGAUAAAGCACUUUUCAGUCGUGAGGAAGGUAGUGUAGUUAAUAGCUGCAUUAUUUGACGUUAGCGACAGAAGAAGCACCGGCUAACUCCGUGCCAGCAGCCGCGGUAAUACGGAGGGUGCGAGCGUUAAUCGGAAUUACUGGGCGUAAAGCGCAUGCAGGUGGUUUGUUAAGUCAGAUGUGAAAGCCCGGGGCUCAACCUCGGAAUUGCAUUUGAAACUGGCAGACUAGAGUACUGUAGAGGGGGGUAGAAUUUCAGGUGUAGCGGUGAAAUGCGUAGAGAUCUGAAGGAAUACCGGUGGCGAAGGCGGCCCCCUGGACAGAUACUGACACUCAGAU
rnacentral:rRNA from 1 species